UACGUAGGGGGCUAGCGUUGUCCGGAAUCAUUGGGCGUAAAGCGCGCGUAGGCGGCCCCGUAAGUCCGCUGUGAAAGUCAAAGGCUCAACCGUUGAAAGCCGGUGGAUACUGUGGGGCUAGAGUCCGGGAGAGGCGAGUGGAAUUCCUGGUGUAGCGGUGGAAUGCGCAGAUAUCAGGAGGAACACCGAUAGCGAAGGCAGCGCGCUGGGACGGUACUGACGCUAAGGCGCGAAAGCGUGGGGAGCGAACAGG
rnacentral:rRNA from 1 species